GACGGUCGUAUUACAAUGCGAGCCAUACAGUCUAACUUCUCUAUUUCAAAAGUACAUUUUCAAAAUUAUUUAUACGACAUGUUGGACACUCAAGGUUGAUUAACAAAUGGUGCAAGUUAAUACACUUGUGAGUUACACUUUGGAUUUGGAAAGAAAAAAUUAAUCAUACGACACGUUGGUUACUUACAUUAAACGUUAUUUUUAAAACAUUUAAACAUUCGAUUUUGUUACAAGUAAAAAAGACCAAAUAACUGUUCAA